rnacentral:SRP_RNA from 1 species
GCUGGGCGUGGUGGCGCAUGCCUGUAAUCCUAGCUAUUGGGGAGGCUGAGGCAGGAGAAUGACUUGAACCCAGGAGGUGGAGGUUGCAGUGAGCUGAUUGUGCCACUGCACUCCAGCCUGGGUGACAGAGCAAGACUCUGUCUCAA